UACCAGCUCUCCGAGUGGUGGGGAUGUUUAUUGGGCUUAAAGCAUCCGUAGCUGGCUGGGCAAGUCCCCUGUUAAAUCUAACGAUUCAAUCGUUGGAUUGCGGGGGAUACUGCUCGGCUAGGGGGCGGGAGAGGCCGACGGUAUUCCCGGGGUAGGGGUGAAAUCCUAUAAUCCCGGGAGGACCACCAGUGGCGAAGGCUGUCGGCUAGAACGCGCCUGACGGUGAGGGAUGAAAGCUGGGGGAGCGAACCGG
rnacentral:rRNA from 1 species